rnacentral:rRNA from 1 species
GAUGAACGCUGGCGGCGUGCCUAAUACAUGCAAGUCGAGCGAGCAGACGAGGAGCUUGCUCCUCUGACGUUAGCGGCGGACGGGUGAGUAACACGUGGAUAACCUACCUAUAAGACUGGGAUAACUUCGGGAAACCGGAGCUAAUACCGGAUAAUAUAUUGAACCGCAUGGUUCAAUAGUGAAAGACGGUUUUGCUGUCACUUAUAGAUGGAUCCGCGCCGCAUUAGCUAGUUGGUAAGGUAACGGCUUACCAAGGCGACGAUGCGUAGCCGACCUGAGAGGGUGAUCGGCCACUCUGGAACUGAGACACGGUCCAGACUCCUACGGGAGGCAGCAGUAGGGAAUCUUCCGCAAUGGGCGAAAGCCUGACGGAGCAACGCCGCGUGAGUGAUGAAGGUCUUCGGAUCGUAAAACUCUGUUAUUAGGGAAGAACAAAUGUGUAAGUAACUAUGCACGUCUUGACGGUACCUAAUCAGAAAGCCACGGCUAACUACGUG